rnacentral:rRNA from 1 species
UACAGAGGUCCCGAGCGUUGUUCGGAUUCACUGGGCGUAAAGGGUGCGUAGGCGGUCGGGUAAGUCUGAUGUGAAAUCUCACAGCUUAACUGUGAAACUGCAUUGGAUACUAUUCGGCUUGAGAGUUGGAGGGGGGACUGGAAUUCAUGGUGUAGCAGUGAAAUGCGUAGAGAUCAUGAGGAAGACCAGUGGCGAAGGCGGGUCUCUGGACAGUUCCUGACACUGAGGCACGAAGGCCAGGGGAGCAAACGGG